rnacentral:rRNA from 1 species
CAGUCGCCGCGGUAAUACGGAGGGGGCUAGCGUUGUUCGGAAUUACUGGGCGUAAAGGGCGCGUAGGCGGCCAUUCAAGUUAGAUGUGAAAGCCCUGGGCUCAACCUAGGAAUUGCAUUUGAUACUGUUUGGCUUGAGUUCGGGAGAGGUGAGUGGAAUUCCCAGUGUAGAGGUGAAAUUCGUAGAUAUUGGGAAGAACACCAGUGGCGAAGGCGGCUCACUGGACCGACACUGACGCUGAGGCGCGAAAGCGUGGGGAGCAAACAGGAUUAGAUACCCCCGUAGUCCCUGUCUCUUAUAC